GUUUGACGUCACGUGAAUCGUAAGCGUUACUACACCCGCCACCAGUUUCUCUCCGUCUCAACAAUUUCUCUGUUCAUAUCAACAAAUACCGCCGAGGUCGACUUUACUUUUCAUCCGUUCGGAGUCAAUAAAUGAAGUAUGAGCGAAACACUGGGGUCGAAAUGUAAACUCAUGUGGUUAAUAAAGAAAUCAUCAUCCUCUUCAUCAUCAUCAUCAUCAUCAUCAUCAUUAUCGUCGUCGUUGUCGUCAUCAUCAUCAUCAUCAUCGUCAUUAUUGCUGUGAUUGAUUUUGUUCACCAUGUACAAGCACAAGGCCCGAAAUUUUGGGGGAAUUGGCCAGUAGAUUAGAUCGACUCAGUACGCAACUGGUACUUAAUUUGUUGGCCUCCAAAGGACGAAAGGAAAAGCCGACCUCGGCGGAAUUUGAACUCAGAACAUAAAGACAGACGAAAUACCGCUAAGCAUUUCGCCCGGCGUGCUAACGUUUCUGCCAGCUCGCCGCCUUCGUUGGUAUUAUUAUUAUUUUAUGUAUUACUUGUAUCUAUACUGUUGAAUUUAUUGUUGAAUAUUUGUUGUUUUUGUGUUGUUAAAACAAUUUGUUUUGCUGCCUUGCAGCAGUGUUGUUAACAUUUCCCCCUUUGUUUGAGGAGGAAGCGCUGUGUUAUUGUCAUGGAAUACGAGAGCAUGAGUUCGUCAGAUAUAAUAUCGUCGUCGUCGAACAUGGACAGAAAAAUGGAAGAAAAGAAUUUUCCAACGAGAAAAUACGUUUUGUGAGAAGGGAGCUGGAAAGGUGCAAGGAAUUAAUACGAAGAGAGGGGCACGAAGUUAAGGUGACACCUCCUAGUGAGAUUACAAGAUUAACGAUGGUGAAGACAAUUUUGUAUAGGACGUGCGGAAGACACGUAUGAAAGGAAUGGUGACAAGUGUCUUCAUCUUCGGUCUGGGGUUGGUAAACUUCUUUGUUUUUCACCUCAGAAGGAAAAUAAGGCUGAAGAGGAGAUGCUUUUCACCUAGUACAUACGGAAAAAGAUGGAAGGAAGGUGCGAAUAUGCUGAGAGUAAAUGAACCUACUUGAGCAAGAACAUAAAGGUAAUCAAAGAGCUCAGUGGUGGAACGGGGCUUGUCGAACCCGUCCCCACUUCCUUUUGUUAUUUCAUUUCGUUUAUUCAUAUCAAAUUUUAAUUAUAUGUUAUGCAUCUUGUUCAUCAUGCGAUCCCCGACUCCCUGACGUUGUAUUGUCUCUCUAUGUUGGUCCCUCGUGGACAA